rnacentral:rRNA from 1 species
CAAUAGCGUAUAUUAAAGUUGUUGCAGUUAAAACGCUCGUAGUCGGAUUUCGGGGCGGGCCGGCCGGUCUGCCGAUGGGUAUGCACUGGCUGGCGCGUCCUUCCUUCCGGAGACUGCGCCUCCUCUUAACUGAGCGGGCGUGGGAGACGGAUCGUUUACUUUGAAAAAUCAGAGUGUUUCAAGCAGGCAUCUCGCUCUUGCAUGGAUUAGCAUGGGAUAAUGAAAUAGGACUUUGGUGCUAUUUUGUUGGUUUCGAACACCGAAGUAAUGAUUAACAGGGACAGUCAGGGGCACUCGUAUUCCGUCGAGAGAGGUGAAAUUCUCAGACCAACGGAAGACGAACCACUGCGAAAGCAUUUGCCAGGGAUGUUUUCACUGAUCAAGAACGAAAGUUAGGGGAUCGAAGACGAUUAGAUACCGU